GACGAACGCCGGCGGCGUGCCUAAUACAUGCAAUGUAGGACGCACAGCCUAUACCGUAGCUUGCUACACCAUAGGCUGUGAGUUGCGAACGGGUGAGUAACGCGUAGGUAACCUGCCUAUCAGAGGGGGAUAACUAUUGGAAACGAUAGCUAAUACCGCAUAACAGUAUGUAACACAUGUUAGAUGCUUGAAAGAUGCAAUUGCAUCGCUAGUAGAUGGACCUGCGUUGUAUUAGCUAGUAGGUAGGGUAAUGGCCUACCUAGGCAACGAUACAUAGCCGACCUGAGAGGGUGAUCGGCCACACUGGGACUGAGACACGGCCCAGACUCCUACGGGAGGCAGCAGUAGGGAAUCUUCGGCAAUGGGGGGAACCCUGACCGAGCAACGCCGCGUGAGUGAAGAAGGUUUUCGGAUCGUAAAGCUCUGUUGUUAAGGAAGAACGAGUGUGAGAAUGGAAAGUUCAUACUGUGACGGUACUUAACCAGAAAGGGACGGCUAACUACGUGCCAGCAGCCGCGGUAAUACGUAGGUCCCGAGCGUUGUCCGGAUUUAUUGGGCGUAAAGCGAGCGCAGGCGGUUAGAAAAGUCUGAAGUGAAAGGCAGUGGCUCAACCAUUGUAGGCUUUGGAAACUGUUUAACUUGAGUGCAGAAGGGGAGAGUGGAAUUCCAUGUGUAGCGGUGAAAUGCGUAGAUAUAUGGAGGAACACCGGUGGCGAAAGCGGCUCUCUGGUCUGUCACUGACGCUGAGGCUCGAAAGCGUGGGGAGCGAACAGG
rnacentral:rRNA from 1 species